GGCCGUGUGGCUCAAUGGCAGAGCGUCUGACUACGAUUCCAUUGGUCAAUCAGGAGGUUGCAGGUUCGACCCCUGCCUCGGUCA
rnacentral:tRNA from 1 species